rnacentral:rRNA from 1 species
UGCAGUCGAGCGGACAGAUGGGAGCUUGCUCCCUGAUGUUAGCGGCGGACGGGUGAGUAACACGUGGGUAACCUGCCUGUAAGACUGGGAUAACUCCGGGAAACCGGGGCUAAUACCGGAUGGUUGUUUGAACCGCAUGGUUCAGACAUAAAAGGUGGCUUCGGCUACCACUUACAGAUGGACCCGCGGCGCAUUAGCUAGUUGGUGAGGUAACGGCUCACCAAGGCGACGAUGCGUAGCCGACCUGAGAGGGUGAUCGGCCACACUGGGACUGAGACACGGCCCAGACUCCUACGGGAGGCAGCAGUAGGGAAUCUUCCGCAAUGGACGAAAGUCUGACGGAGCAACGCCGCGUGAGUGAUGAAGGUUUUCGGAUCGUAAAGCUCUGUUGUUAGGGAAGAACAAGUGCCGUUCAAAUAGGGCGGCACCUUGACGGUACCUAACCAGAAAGCCACGGCUAACUACGUGCCAGCAGCCGCGGUAAUACGUAGGUGGCAAGCGUUGUCCGGAAUUAUUGGGCGUAAAGGGCUCGCAGGCGGUUUCUUAAGUCUGAUGUGAAAGCCCCCGGCUCAACCGGGGAGGGUCAUUGGAAACUGGGGAACUUGAGUGCAGAAGAGGAGAGUGGAAUUCCACGUGUAGCGGUGAAAUGCGUAGAGAUGUGGAGGAACACCAGUGGCGAAGGCGACUCUCUGGUCUGUAACUGACGCUGAGGAGCGAAAGCGUGGGGAGCGAACAGGAUUAGAUACCCUGGUAGUCCACGCCGUAAACGAUGAGUGCUAAGUGUUAG